AAAUAAAAGGCAGCCUUCUUGAGUAAAAAAAAGCCAAGGCUAGAAAAAAAAUAUCGAGCGAAAAAUAGAAAUGAUAAAAGAAAGCUCAAAAGAAUAAGUUGACUUGGUUAGAUGGUCACUUCGUUAGAUGGUCACUUGGUUAGAUGGUCGAAAAAUCUCAUGUUUGGGUGUUGAGCUGUGAGAAAUUUGUACGCAUUGACUGAGAUGUGAAAGAUGUUGUGAUGGAUGUGCUAGUAUUUUAAGAAUGGUGGUAAGCUACUUAACCAUAUAUUAUCCCACCUUUACCAAAAGCCCCGUUACAUCCCAAUGAAUAAGACCUUUUCAUUUAUGCAUCAUAUUGACUUGUGAGCGAUGAAUUUUGCUUGAAUUUGGGAGAAAGAUCUUAUGUGCUUAAAAUAAAGAAUAGCCGGAAGAACUUCCCUUUAGGAAUUAGUAACGAUGGUUUGAGACUCCCAAGACACAACUCGAACUUAUAUUGAAACAUGGGAUGCCUAGGUCUUAAGGAAUUAGUUCGUGUACAAUUCUUGUUCGAAAGUUUUACCUGCGAGUGAAUUCAUGGUCGACCUAAUUUCCCUACUGAUUCGUUAUCUUGACUUGAAGGAGAGGAUUAUCUAAUAUCUUCUGACUGUGCUUUAUUGUCUAACUUGCUCGAGGGCUAGCAAGACUUAAGUUAUGGGGGUGUUUGAUGUGAGUGGGUAAUUGUCUAACUUGUUCCUCGGAGUAUACAAUGGAAUGGAGGGUAUCGUAUUACUGCUCCAAGUCAGUUUUGACCACUUCGAUAUUAAGUUGGUCUUGCUGUCUCCAAAAUCUGAAGAUCACGAUACCAGGAUGUGUGGAAAGAAUUUCUAUUUGAGUCAGAUUAAAGAGCUGUGUGCCAAUCCUAUUUGAGGCGACUGAGAUAAUUUCUAGAGCACUCAUUUCAGCUGGAAUCACAAACAGAGUUGACACCGAUGAAUGGAAUCCAUCCACUGAUACACAUCUUCCUCGAUUGAUAACCUCUCUGGAAAUGUUGUGAUACACCCAAAAUUUUAACUAUUAUUCCAGCAGUUGUGUUUGUCUACGACAGUUUGAUCAACUAGCACGGGACCAAGUUUUCUAUAGAUUGCAAACUUGAGUUUGCUCGUACUGCUUGCUCAUCUAAAUUCUGCUGCUGGGCUGCGCUGCAAGCAAAACUCGUUCCUUUGUUGAGAGCUCUACUUUACUGUUGAUCAGUUCCAGAGAUGUCCACUGUUUUUCAAUAACCAUGUUCGAGCCUUGUUUCCAUUCAAUACACAUCCAACACAUGUUAUCCUUGCUAGCCAUAUUCUUGCCAAGUCUCUUUUCUCAGCCCUCUUACAAUUACUGCUCUUGAGGGCAAAUAAAAUCAAACUCAGGGGAGAAAGCUUUGGUUCUGCUUUCGGAUAGAAGUGUUGUGACAGUUCCCACAGAAGACCUUCUACCAACUAAUCCUCGGAUACUUGACUAAGUUGAUGAUCUUCCACAACUAAGUUAUUUGAGCGUUUAGUUCUUCACAAUCUUCAAUAUAGAUAUUUACAAGAUAAUUUAAAUAGAAUGGCAGGCUCUGGAUUUUUGUCCGUCAAUCCAUAUAAAAAUGUCUAGGUAUAUGGGGAUGAUAAAGAAAGAAGCUUUUGGACACUCCUCAUGCUUAUGUUGUAGCUGAUGCGGCAUACAAUGCAAGGAUAGCAGAUGAAGUAAGCCUGGCUAUAAUUAUCAGUUUAAGCUGAAAAGGUUAAGAGAGUGGACGGAAGGGGCACAAAAUGAGGAAAUUGACUGAUAAGAAAGGAGGGAGGUGCAAAAAAAGAAAAAAAGAAAAAAAGAAAGAAAAAAAGAAAAAAAAGAAAGGAGGUGCAAAAAAGAAAAAGAAAAAAAAGUAAGAUGGAGAUGCAUGCAAAAAUAGAAGAUAAAGCGUUGUUGGUGGAGAUGGAAUCAAGAACUGUUACAAGGGAGAUAAGGAGUUGAUAUAGGAGAGGAAUGAGGCUGACAUAGGGGGGAACAAGAUGAGGAAGUUGCCUGAUAAGAAAGAAGGAGAUGCUAAAAAUAAGAAAGAAAGAAAGAAGGAGAUGCACGCAAAGAAAGAAGAUAAAGAUCUGUUGGAGAGAUGAAAUUAACAACCUCAUGAACUAUUACAAGGGAGAAAAGGAGUUGAAGUAGGAGAGGAAUAGGCUGACACAGUUCUGAACAUGCAAGGGAAGAAGAGAAACUGCCCAGUCUAGGACAUGCUCCAGAUCCCAUGACGUGCAGAAGCUGACCAACACAAGGGCAAAUAAAAUCAAACUCAGGGGAGAAAGCUUUGGUUCUAGUUUCGGAUAGAAGUGUAGUGACAGUUCCCACACAAGACCUUCUACCAACCAAUCCUCGGAUACUUUACUAAGUUGAUGAUCUUCCACAACUAAGUUAUUUGAGCGAGCCUUUAGUUCUUCACAAUCUUCAGUAUAGAUAUUUACAAGAUAAUUUAAAUAGAAUGGCAGGCCCUAUAUUAUUGUCAGUCAAUCCAUUUAAAAUAUCCAGCUAUAUGGGGAUGAUAUAGCAAGUAGCUUGCUGAUGCAACAUGCAAUGCAACGAUAGCAGAUGAAGUAAGCCAAGCUAUAAUUAUCAGAUUUAUUUGCUACCACUUGGUUUGGUACUCUGUUGAGGGACAAAAUGAGGAUGUUGGCUGAUAGAAAAGAAAGAGAUGCAAGCAAAGAAAGAUGAAAAAGAGCUGUUGGAGAAGAUGAAAUCAGUAACCUCAAAAACCGUUACAGAGGAUAAAAGGGUUGAAAUAGGAGAGGAAUGAGGCUGACACAGUUUUGGAGAUGCAAGGGAAGAAGAGAAAUCAAGACAGGCAAAUGAGAAUGCAUACUUGACAAGGGAAAACUAGUGCCUGCAUUGUGGAGUACCACUAGCUGACAUCACAGGAUCUCUCAUCUACUUAUGAGGGCUUGCGAUAGAGAAUGCAGCUUGAUUUUUUCUCUCUAAUAAAGGCGAUGAAGAUGGGAUUUUCAACAGAGUUAACAACACCCCUGACAGAUAUUUUGGGAUUCUCUAAAUCCUGGAUGAGUGCUUUGAUGAAGAACAGAAGUAGGCUUAGUUUGCCCUUAAUUUGUUUGGGAACCUUAGAUUCUAUCAGAAUUUGUAAAGAAGACUAGAAACAUGCCUUCGAGAAGCUUGCUGCCGUUUUGUGACUGGGAACAUAUCAUUUCUUGUAACUGAUAAUCAAAAGCACAUCAAGGUUGUCUCUGAUGAAGCUAUUACAAAUGCUACUGGCUUGAUUGGCUCUAGUGAGAAAGACCUGAUUCUGACAAGAUCAGCCCGGAGGUCACCGAAUGUCUGACACAUGAACAGGCAAUCGACACAAGAGAUGCAUUGGCAAUGUUUAUUUAUGUGAGCAUGUUCGACUGGCUUGUGGAGAAGAUAAACUUGUCACUUUCCUAGGGGAAAGGUGAUAUGGGGUGUUCAGUAAGGAUCAUUGAUAUGGAUUUGAGUAACUUAAGGUAUACAAUGAUUGAUAUUUUCCACAAUGUAUACUAUGGUGUGUUUUGUCCCACUUUAAAUAAUCUUAGUUGGAUGGUUGCUUUUUUGCACCUAAAGAAUGGCUUUUUAGUAUGAACUGUUUUGCAUCAAUUAUGCUGACGAGCGGCUCCAGCAUCAUUUCGAUCAACAUCUCGUCAAACACGAGCAAGAAGUAAGCAUCACAAAAGUUAUUACAGUUUAUUUCCUUCUGUCUUUCCUUCACAAAAUAGAGCGUGCAAGGAUUACAAUUUGUGAAUUCAUAAGUAAAUCUUUCUGCCUUAAUUAUCUGAAUCAUUAAUGCAUUAAUCAACUUAAUGUUAAUUGUUUUGAUUUCAAAUUGUGCAUUAAAUAUUUUAGCAUAACCCUUAUGAUAUAUGAAUUUUGUUAUUGGUUUUGAUGAAACAUAUUUACAAUCAAAAGAUUAUGAGUUGGAUGAAAUUGACUGGAAAAGGAUUUUGAAGACAACCAAGAUUUUGUAGGUCCUUUUGAGAAGGUAAUCAGGGUUCUUAUUUUUGUAUAGUAGGGUUUUCCUUUAUCACGCAGCAUUUUGAUUGACAUAGUUCUAUUUAUGUCUAUGGGUGGGAUGGGGAGAAGGCCACUAAAGCCAUUUUCUGUUAAUUAGUAACACAUUAUCUACUAAUUGUUAUUUUAUUUUUGUCUGACUUUUACUUGCAUUUGUUGAAUAGAUAUGUUUUUAGUAUCGAACAAAUUAUGUCUCUUAACUUAUGGUGUGCUUGAUCAGACAUGUAUUGGAUUCAUACUUAACAUUUGCUUGUAAACUUAAACAUCACUUCAGUACUAACCGUUGGUUUAUGGAACACUUUAUCUUGGGUUAUUUUUGAGCUUUAAUUGUACAGUGCCAAUUUGGCCCACAUCUGUAGAGGAGAGACCAUCUACAGAAUCAGCCCUACCUCAAUUCCUUGGAGAGGAAGUUUUCAAUCCCCAAGUAUAAAAGCAAUGCUCUGCCCUAAUUGAAGUGGACGAGCAACCGGUAAGGAAAACAAAAAUCCUCCUUUUCCCUUUGAAUCUGUGACAGUUACAAUUAGUUAUAUUGAAUUCAUUUUCCACUUUUAAAUGCUUGCUAGCUAGUAGACAACAGAACAAAGCUUUGUCGAUGUUAGCUUUUCUUUUCUCUACCAAAGAAUGGUUGAGUUCUUUUGUCGCCAUGUUGCUAAGAUUCUGUUGUGAUUGCUCCAAUUUGUUAGUUUAGAAUUUCAGUAACUUUGUUGAGAAGAUCUAUUGAAUUUCCAUGUUUCUGUAUAUUUUUACCAGCCUACCUAUGAUCUACUUGCAUUACUCUCUAUUUUUAGAAUUUUGCUAAGUUUCCUCUGCAUUUUUUUACCCCUUUAUAUAAUGUUUACUACAUGAGUUCUUUUGGAAGUUUUUAAAGAGUUUGUAUGCUCUUAGAUUAAGUUGACUGAUCUCCAUUUUCUAGCCAUGUUUGUGAAGUUUCCAGCCCAUUGUCUUUCAUGCUUCAACUUUUGUUUAAUGUCCACAGUUUCCUAAAACAUGAUUUCCACUCUCUUUUGAAUCCAAGUUUAUUUUUAGGUUAUAUUCUGUCUUUCAGUGUUCUCUUUCAAGCUUUCCAAAAGUAGGAUGGAGGUCUCGAUUUCCCACACUUAGUUAGAUUCAGUUUACUCUCUUAUUCCUAGUUCUCAUAUUUAAAAUUCUAGUUUCCCAUAUUAGUGUUUAGGUCCACUUUAAUCCUUAAGGAAGUGGUGGCUUACACCAAACCUCAUAUAAGCAACUUCAUUGUUGUUGGGAAUAUGUAAGGUGCUAAAAUAUAGACCUGUAAGCAUUCUUUUUAAUGGUCAAGUUGAACCUUGAAAAGAUAUUAUUUUUGUCUAUUCUUAGUCAUAUUUUUCUGACAUGGCUUUGCUAUUUUGCGCACAUCCAAUGUUAAAUUCUUCAAUUAUGAGCAAUCCUUGAAAAGGUGAGUAUGCAUUUCAAUAUCAGUGAGUUUGUUCCCUAGUCUGCAUAUUUAUGAUUAACUGGAAUUGACAUUAUUCCAUAUUUGACCGGUAAAGAAUUGUUCAGUUGUUCCAAGGAGAGUGGCACUACCACAUUUUCUAUAAGCUCUGCUCUGUUGUCCCUUCUGGUCCCCAAGGUAUGUACUCAGCUUUUCCCCAAUUAUUUAGUUUUCGACCUGUAUCCAAGGAGAGUGGUCCUAUCACAUUUUCUGUAAGCGAAUAAAUUGCAUAUCCAAAGUAAGAGCGAUCCCCAUAUGUGUAGGAAGUAGAAAGUUAGGGUUGCACCUGGAUACAAAAGGUAUUAUACUACAUCAAGAUUAUGUUUAUGCUUACCUUUUUAUUUAACAAUCUAAGUUAAUUUCCCUAUCUACUGGUGUUACAAAUGCUACUUGCUUGACAGCCUUAUAGUGAGCGAGACCUGAUGCUUACAAUGUCAGCGCAGAAGGUACGAGCAGGAAAUGAUGAGGUCACCAAAUCUCUGACACUUGAACAAGUUCAUAAUCAAAGAUCAAUAUUACUUGCAUAAUGCUUAUUUUCAGGAUGUUUUGAUUGCUAAACCGUCACACUUAUGAUCAACAUGUCAGUUCCACGGGGAAAGAUAACAUGGAGUUAAGGUAUACAAUGAUUAAUAUUUUCCUCAAUAUAUAUAUAGUAUGCUGUGAUUUAUCCCAUUGUAAAUAGUCUUUCUUUACCAACCCACUUUAAUCAAUCUACUUGUAGUCUUUGAUUGCUUUUUACCACCAGAAGAACAGCACUUUUUACAUCUGUUACGCUGACGAGCGGCUCCAGAACCAUUUCAAUCAACAUCUCAUGAAAACUUGAGCAAGAACCAAGCAUCACACAUAAAAGUCUUUACAAUUUAUUUACUUCUGUCUUCCUUCUCAAAAUAGCGCCUGCAAGGAUUACAAUUUGUGAAUUCAUAAGUAAAUUCUUCUGCCUUUAUUAUCUAUAUGAUUAAUAAACCUAAUGCUUACUUCUUUCCUUGCAAAUUGUGCAUCAAAUAUUUUAGCAUAAACAUUCUAAUGUAGGAAUUUUGCUAUUGGUGCUGGUGAAACAUAUUUACAAUCACAAGAGUAUAAGUUAUAUAGAAUAGACUGGAAAAGGGUAGAUUUUGAAAACAACCAAGAUUGUGUGGGAUCUGUGUUCUUAUUAUGGUAUAGUAGGGUUGUCCUUUUCCGAGCAGCAUUUUGACUGGCAUAGUUCUAUUUAUGUCUAUGUGUGGGAUGGGGAGACGGGGCACUAAUGUUAUUUUCUGUUAAUCAAUAACCCAUUAUAUCUGACUUUUACCUUAAUUUGUUGAAUAGAUAUAUUUUAGUAUUGAACAAAUUGUGUCUCCUUACUCUUAUGUUUACAAUGGUGUUCUUGAUCAGACACCUAUUGGAUUCAUAUCUAUACUGCCAAAGCUACAUAUUUAACACAUGCUGCUAAACUUUCAGCAUCACUUCAGUACUAACCGUUGAUUUAAUGGAGAAACAGGUGGAACAUUCAGCAUUAAACAUCAUGCCGGGAUGGUUAGUGUACUUGUCAUUGUACUUUUGUGGAAUAUUUGUACACAACCAAUAAUUUAGAUAAAGCAAGGGAACCUCUAGUAGGUUUGGCAUUUUUCAGUUUACAAAUAGAAUUUUGCUCUCAGCAACUCAUUGUUAGUGUUGACAUUUGGUUUUAGAGUGGGCGCUCUAUUAAUCUGAACAAAUAAAAUCAAACUCAGGGGGAGAAAGCUUUGGUUCUGUUCUUGGACAGAAGUGUUAGUUCAUUUAUUUUUUUCAUCACUUCACUGGUUUUGUUGUAUUCUACAAGAAUUUUGCACUUACUGCAUUAUCACUAUUGGUUGUGACAGUUCCCACAGAAGACCUUCUACCAACCAUUCAGAAGAUACUUGACGAAGUUGAUGAUCAUGCACAAGCUAAGUUAUUUGAACAAGCCUUCAGUUCUUCACAGUCUUCAGCAUAGAUGUUUACAAUUACUUGCAUAUACCUUAGUUUGUUCUCUUUGUUUGAGGGAAAGCAUACUUCCAGUGUGAGGAGGUUUGGUGAGCCAUAUUUGUGACACUUUAUGAUGGGUUAUUUUGAGCUUUAAUUGUACAAAUACCAACAUAAUUCUCUGAAACUUGUGUAGCAAAUGGAGGAAAAUGAAUUCACGGGAAAAUGGAGUUUGGAAAUAACAGAAAAAUGCUGCAAAAAUGAGCUAAAAGAGAAAAAAAUGGGAGUGCUAAUAGAAGAAUGGUUGAAUUCUAUCGUUCUUGUUGCUAAGAUUCUGUUGUGAUUGCUCCAAUUAGUUAGUUUAGAAUUUCUGAAAGUUUGUUGAGAAGCUCUAUUGAAUUCCAUGUUACUGUUAUUUUUCUAGCCUACCUAUGAUCUACUUGCAUUGCUCUCUGUUUUAACCACAUUAGUUUAGAAUUUGCUAAGUUUCCUGUGAAUGUAUUUACCCCUUCAUAUGAUGUUUAUUACAUACUUCUUUUCGAAGUUGUUAAAAUCAAUUUCUAUGCUCUUAGAUUAAGUUGACUGGUCUCUAUUUUCUAGCAACUUCAUUGCUGCUGGGAAUAUGUGUGGUGCUAAAAUAUAGACAUGUAAGCAUUCUUUUAAUGGUCAAAUUGAACCUUGAAAAUAUAUUAUUUUUUUCUAUUCUUAGUUAUAUUUUUUUGACAUGGCUUUGCCAUUUUGCACACAUCCAAUGUCAAAUUCAUCAAUUAUGAGCAGUCCUUCAAAAGGUCAGUAUGCUUAUCAAAAUCAGUGAGUUUGUUCCCUAGUCUGCAUAUUUAUGAUUCACUGGAAUUGACAUGAUUUCAUAUUUGACCUGUAAAGAAUUGUACAGGUUGUUCCAUGAAGAGUGGUCCUAUCACAUUUUCUAUAAGCUCUACUUUGUGUCCCUUCUGGUCUCCAAGGUUUGUACUAAGCUUUUCCCCAAUUAUUUAGUUUUCGACAUGCAAAUGUACCUUUUUCUCCUACAUAAAUGAAGAUUAUGGGAAUAGUUCAAAUACUUUUGGACGUGGUGAUUACUCUGAUAUACUUUUUUCUAUUAUUAUAUCUGUGGCAUACAAAAAUCUUUUUUAUAAGCUUGUAUCAUUUUUACUUAAUAGCUGUUGGUGUUUCAUUGUUAAGAACCUAUUUUCUUUAAAACAUACCAAAGCAUGAAUGUAACAUAUAUUGUUGAUGAUGCAUAAGUCAUUGCACUUUUCUCUUAAUAAAAAAAUCAUUUAUUGCCUAAAACACAUGUAUAGCUUUUCUGGAAAAUAUUAUAACCGGAAGCCUAUGAGUAAAUGAUUUCUGAUCCAAAACAUUGAUAAUGAACAAAACCUUCAUAAUCUUAUGGUCAAUGACAGGUCUUGAAUAUGCACUGUAUGGUUAGCUACACCCAUUUGUUUUUGUCGUACACAGUCAUUAUUCAAGCACCCAACCACUUUUGUGUCUGGAGAGGUUAUCUUUAGUGAAGAAACUGAUCUUUUUACUGAGCUUUCUAAUCUUUUUUAGCAUAUUUAUUAAUUAUAGCAUAUGUUUCCAC